GCCUGCAUGGUGUAGUGGUUUGAGUAUUGGACUCGGAUUCUGGGUGACCAGAGUUCAAAUCCCUGCUCAGGCA